rnacentral:rRNA from 1 species
GAUGAGCGCUGGCGGCGUGCUUAACACAUGCAAGUCGAACGGUGAAGCAGAGCUUGCUCUGUGGAUCAGUGGCGAACGGGUGAGUAACACGUGAGCAAUCUGCCCCGGACUCUGGGAUAACAGUUGGAAACAGCUGCUAAUACCGGAUAUGAGACGGGACCGCAUGGUCGACGUUUGGAAAGAAUUUCGGUUCGGGAUGAGCUCGCGGCCUAUCAGCUUGUUGGUGAGGUAAUGGCUCACCAAGGCGUCGACGGGUAGCCGGCCUGAGAGGGUGACCGGCCACACUGGGACUGAGACACGGCCCAGACUCCUACGGGAGGCAGCAGUGGGGAAUAUUGCACAAUGGGCGGAAGCCUGAUGCAGCAACGCCGCGUGAGGGAUGACGGCCUUCGGGUUGUAAACCUCUUUUAGCAGGGAAGAAGCGAAAGUGACGGUACCUGCAGAAAAAGCGCCGGCUAACUACGUGCCAGCAGCCGCGGUAAUACGUAGGGCGCAAGCGUUAUCCGGAAUUAUUGGGCGUAAAGAGCUCGUAAGCGGUUUGUCGCGUCUGCUGUGAAACCCGAGGCUCAACCUCGGGCCUGCAGUGGGUACGGGCAGACUAGAGUGCGGUAGGGGAGAUUGGAACUCCUGGUGUAGCGGUGGAAUGCGCAGAUAUCAGGAAGAACACCGAUGGCGAAGGCAGAUCUCUGGGCCGUAACUGACGCUGAGGAGCGAAAGGGUGGGGAGCAAACAGGCUUAGAUACCCUGGUAGUCCACCCCGUAAACGUUGGGAACUAGUUGUGGGGUCCAUUCCACGGAUUCCGUGACGCAGCUAACGCAUUAAGUUCCCCGCCUGGGGAGUACGGCCGCAAGGCUAAAACUCAAAGGAAUUGACGGGGACCCGCACAAGCGGCGGAGCAUGCGGAUUAAUUCGAUGCAACGCGAAGAACCUUACCAAGGCUUGACAUAUACGAGAACGGGCCAGAAAUGGUCAACUCUUUGGACACUCGUAAACAGGUGGUGCAUGGUUGUCGUCAGCUCGUGUCGUGAGAUGUUGGGUUAAGUCCCGCAACGAGCGCAACCCUCGUUCUAUGUUGCCAGCACGUAAUGGUGGGAACUCAUGGGAUACUGCCGGGGUCAACUCGGAGGAAGGUGGGGAUGACGUCAAAUCAUCAUGCCCCUUAUGUCUUGGGCUUCACGCAUGCUACAAUGGCCGGUACAAAGGGCUGCAAUACCGUGAGGUGGAGCGAAUCCCAAAAAGCCGGUCCCAGUUCGGAUUGAGGUCUGCAACUCGACCUCAUGAAGUCGGAGUCGCUAGUAAUCGCAGAUCAGCAACGCUGCGGUGAAUACGUUCCCGGGUCU